CCUACGGGAUGCUGCAGUGGGGGAUAUUGCACAAUGGGGGAAACCCUGAUGCAGCGACGCCGCGUGGGUGAAGAAGCGCCUCGGCGCGUAAAGCCCUUUCAGCAGGGAAGAAAAUGACGGUACCUGUAGCAGAAGCCCCGGCUAACUACGUGACAGCAGCCGCGGUAAUACGUCGGCGUCAAGCGUCAUCCUGAGUUACUGGGUGUAAAGGGGGCGCAGACGGCGGUGCAAGACAGGAGUGAAAGCCCGGGGCCCAACCCCGGGACUGCACUUGGUACUGGGUGGCUAGAGUUCAGUAGGGGGAGGCGGAAUUCCUGGUGUAGCGGUGAAAUGCGUAGAUAUCAGGAGGAACACCGGUGGCGAAGGCGGCCUGCUGGACUGCCACUGACGUUGAGGCCCGAAAGCGUGGGGAGCAAACAGGAUUAGAUACCCUUGUAGUC
rnacentral:rRNA from 1 species